UACGAAGGGUGCAAACGUUGCUCGGAAUCAUUGGGCGUAAAGCGCACGUAGGCGGCUUCGCAAGUCGGAUGUGAAAUCCCUCGGCUCAACCGAGGACGUGCAUACGAAACUGCGGAGCUUGAGUGCUGAAGAGGAUCGCGGAAUUCCCGGUGUAGAGGUGAAAUUCGUAGAUAUCGGGAGGAACACCAGUGGCGAAGGCGGCGAUCUGGGCAGGCACUGACGCUGAGGUGCGAAAGCGUGGGGAGCAAACAGG
rnacentral:rRNA from 1 species